CUCUCUCAAAAUCCCUUAGAUUUAAAAUACACUCAACCCCCGAAAUCACGACUACCCCUAAAAGAGAAAUUGAAAACGAAUAAACGAUGAAUGAUAUCGAUCGCUGAAUUGUUGAUCUCCUCUUCGACUCUUUCAUUAUCUCGCCCCUAUUUCUCUCGGCCAAGGAAAUGGUAUAUUUUCCCUUUAAAAGGCAAAAAAAUCCGAUAAGACUUAUGAUCCAAACAAUCGAUCUACCUCAGGCAACCAGUUGAUUUUAUUGUGCGUUCCUCUACUCCUCUUCAUCUUCUUUACGCCCUCCUCUCUUGUAUCUAUCUCUGUAACUCACUCUUUGUAAGGUCUAUUAUAUAAAAUCCGAUACUAUAGAGAGACAAGGAAAAUGGUAGGACCUCAGCGACCCCAAAUCGUUCUAUUUGGAUCUUCAAUUGUUCAGUUCAGUUUUAUCAAUGUUGGAUGGGGUGUUAUUCUUGCCGACGUCUAUGCUCGUAAAAUGUUAUAUUGCAUGGAUAUAGUGGUUGGAAUUCAAGACGGGAUAUACAUGUUACCUACCGGGUUUGUACAGAUGUUGUAUUGCUUGCAUAACACGUUAUGGAGUUCUGGCGUUUCGAUGUUUGAUUUUACAACUGCAACAAUGGAUGUGGGGGUGUGCUUGUUGUCCGAGAUUGAAGAGUCUGAUUGUGGCCGAGAUAUAGAUGGAGAGCUGUGAAAUCGGUGGCUAAUUGACAUGGAAUGGAGAUGGUUGUAAGUUACUGAAUUGGCUUGACUGCAAUCAGUUGAAGAAGAAAAUGUAUGGAUUUUGUCAUCAACUAAAUUCAGGGAUUGUAGUCCUCGGAUUCAAAUUAAGUUUUAUAUGGAAUUCAAACUACAAGAAGGUGAAAAUGUUGUUGGUUGUUGAGAAAUGGGGAAGGUGUUUAUGUUGUUUGGUUUGUACGGGAGUUAUUGAAACAGGAAAGAAGAUGAUGAUGCUGUUAUGUCUGCGUAACUUGUCAUGCAGUCAAGAAAAUGUCUGCAUAACAUGUUAUGCAGUCGUGAAAAUGGAUGCAUAACCUGUUAUGCAUCUACAAAAAUUAUUGCAUAACUUGUUAUGCAGUCCAAAAACGAGUAACUUUUGUGUUACCAUCUAUCUUACAAAAACAAAUGUGUUUUUCCUGAUCUGAUGGUUCUGAAUGGACCUUUAACAAUAAUCGACGGCUCCCAUUGCUCUCAAAAUGUGGGAAAAUGAAGGCGAUAAAUCGUUGCUCAAAAUGCACCCUUUACCUACGCCCUCAUCCAACGUCCCAAAUUGCCUUGGACCAAAAAUUCAAUGUCAUUGCGUCAACAUGGGAAGAGGAAUUAAAUGUGUUGCAGAAUAUGUAACUGUUGGGAUCCUAGGCAUGGGAAGGGGAAUUGAAUGUAUCAGUUACUUAUUAAGAAGCCUAAUAUAAGAAGAAAUGGACAUCUCUAGGGUUUCUUCAAGUUUCUCUGGAGGCUGAACCUGGCAAAUUCUUGGGUGAUUGUUCAUAAAGAAGGUUCAAAGUGAUCCGGAUGAUCCAUGCCAUUUUUCAUAGAAAAGGUAUUUUUGGUUGAUUCAGGGUUAGGGUUCUUCUUCCCCAAUUCUUAAUUUGAUUUUUCUUUUGUUCACCAUAGAGUUUUCUUCCUAAUAGCCGACAACUCCAGGUAGAAACUAUAGAAAAUUUGGUUGUGUAAGUAAAUAUUUACCAAGAUUAGUUUGAUAUUUUAUCCGGUUCACCCAUGGCGUAUUAUCUAGAGGUACCCAGUGCAACCAAAUAAGAAAUCAAUUCCAUUCUGUUUCAGAGGUUGGUCCAUUGCACAACCCUAUCAUCCCCAGGUUGGUCGACAAAGUUGUUGUUAUUUUUUACAAAUUUGUUAUGUUUUCUAUAAUCCCGAUCAUGAUCCACCUUUAUGUUUCUAUAUUCUUCAUAUUGUUUGAUUAUUAUGAGAUAAUCUUCUGCACUAAUAAUCAUCAUUUUUCCUGCUUUAAAAUGCAACAUUGGGGACCGUCCCCAUUUACUCUUAAUCUCAUGGUCCUUAGUAAUGCAGGAAGUAGCAAUGGCAUCAAAGAUCACCUUUCGGCUUAGUAAUAUAUUUCAACUUGAUUUAUCAGAGGGUUUCUCAAUUUUGGAUUCACCAAAAACGUCACAAAUCGAGAUUUUGCAGGUGACACGAAUUUGAUUAAAAGUUUGGGUUCUCCAGACAGGCACCUCAGAUUCGAUGUAGUUAUUUAUUAAAAAAUGAGAUCAGUAAUCAAGUACAAGACAAUCAACCAGAUAACUGGGACUGAUGAAUGAAUUUCAUGCCAGAUCCGGGUUUUACGAGACCAACUACAUAUAAAAGGAGGUUUGGACGAAAGGUUAUGCAAAAUCUAUGGGGAAAAUACUUUCUGACGGAUAUGUACAACAGUUAUAUGCCACCCAGCAGAUUCAUUUUGGUACCUAAUUAGCCGGACACGUUAUCAAACAGGAUGGUGGGUUCGCAAGCUUACCGAAUGAGAAGUGUAAAACAUCGUUGGGAGUGGGAUUCAAAAAAUUGGAAUUUAUUUCUUAUCAAAGUUUCCUUUCAACCAGCAAGUUUGGUGUCAAUAAUUGGUUUUUGUGAGGAAUGCAGAGCUACACCCAGGCCUCAAGAUUGAUUGGGAACCAGUGCUGCAAUACUUGACAGAAAAAACAAAUUUUCCACCAAAUAAAUGAUGACAAGAAUGCAAUCAGUGCUUCCAUUUUGAAGAUUUAGCAAGGCCGUGUCUACACUUACCUGGCGGCUGACAAGAAUUGGGAAUAUAAACUGCCCAACCGAGUGCUUUAACAACAUGAAUACAUCCGUCUUGCCUCCAUUGAAGCUGGACAUCAAGGUUGGUUGCCGCGUUUUGAUGAUAAGAAAUAUUGUAGCAAAAACUGGGCUUCACAGUGGAAUAAAAUUAAGGCUUGAGUGGUAAGCCACCUGAUCGCAUUAAGGGAACAAAGCGUAAUCUUCACUGGUAAGAAACCAUCUUAAUUGGUGAUAUAAAAGGACAGUCCUUGGAUAUCCUUAAGUGUGAGUGACAUGCAGACAACAAUUAAUACGUUUGUAUUAUGCAAUAACAACCAGCAAGUCGCGAUAACAAGUCUGUCAAAGUGAGAUUGCCGAUGAGCACACAGCAAAUAUGUUAAGGCUGUCAAAGGCGCUGACAAUAUUUGAAAGCACGACUACACAAGAGGUAUAUAAACUUAUGGCUGCUCGGGGUUGAGGCUUCUUUGUUAACAAACUCUACUGUCUUGCUUUGUGGAAUCCUGACUGAUAAGGUUUGGUGUCGUUAUUAUCUUUUAUCUUCACUAUCAAAGUUGUUUUCGUAAAGUCAGUUCACAUUGUUGUGCAUCGUGUCCUUGCUAUUAUUAUUAUCGUGAGAUUUCUGUCAUGUUUUGUCUCUGUCAUGAAUCCACGGAAUAGUACUGAUUGUAUUUCUUUUCAUAUUUGAUGAUGAAAUAGUUUCCAUAAAGUUAGUUCGUAUUGCCGUGCACCAUUUCAUUGCAGGCAUCAUUGUUGUGGCAAACCAGUUGAUAGAGGUAGCACUGAGAACUACUUCCCAAACACCUCAUUGGUCUUGCUACUUGAUAAACUCCCGACAAUUUCUAAGUUGUGUCUUUGAUGAUGAAGAUGGCCUGAACCUCGACACCUAACAAUUGUUGAUAGCGAUGAUAUAUUGAUAUCACACACCAAAACUCUUUUCUUCUUCAUUUGGGUUAAAAUGUAGUGGCGAGUCGUGAUAUGGUUUAACUGGGUUUAUAUAAUAAACAAUCGAUGGUGAACGAGGCUAUGUUAUGCCUUGAAAUUGGUAUUUAUCUGACUAACGAUAUCAAAACUAGAUAUGAUAUUAGUUUCAAAUAUAUCUUAGGGUUCAGCAAUUCAUCCAAAAUGUAAGAAAUAGAUUGAUUCAAUUUCUAAAUCAAGAUUGCUAAUUUUUGUACCUGGGGCCCCGGUCGAGGAAUAAUGUGCAAACAAGCUUCUGGAAAAGGCAAUAGUAGCAUCAAUGUCAAUAGCUCAAGUUAGCAACAAUCAGUACUCUUAUCAUCUAGGAGUCGUUGAAAUAAGUAAGAGCCAAGAGGUGGGAAGUUGGAUUUGAGGGGCAUCUUAUGGGGGAGAUUUGGUUUGUUGGGAUCUGCAAUUUUAUUUUAUGCGAGUCUUUCACUGUUUAGUAAAACAACGAGCGCGUGCUGGACAUAUGAUGUAUGCAAAUUUAGCUUGCUCAUCAUUUCUCACCAAUAAGGAAGAUUCAAGAAGCUCCACAAUCAGAUUCGAUGUUUUACAUUGUAAACAUAAAUCAUUCUUUGGAUAGAGGCUUCAUGUAACGUCUCUCAAACAUAGAACAUUGAUCAACAUGAUGAAUGUCCAUACAUAAAUAUGCAAAUGACAUGUUUAAUUGUUGUAAGUUGUG